rnacentral:rRNA from 1 species
UGGGGAAUCUUGCGCAAUGGCCGAAAGGCUGACGCAGCGACGCCGCGUGUGGGAUGACGCCUUUCGGGGUGUAAACCACUGUUGCCCGGGACGAAUGACUUCUUUCGAGAAGUGUGACGGUACCGGGUGAGGAAGCACCGGCUAACUCCGUGCCAGCAGCCGCGGUAAUACGGAGGGUGCGAGCGUUGUCCGGAAUCACUGGGCGUAAAGGGCGCGUAGGCGGCUUGGGAAGUCCGUGGUGAAAGCUCGUGGCUCAACUACGAGUCGGCCAUGGAUACUCCUGAGCUUGAGUCGACUAGAGGCUAAUGGAAUUCCGGGUGUAGCGGUGGAAUGCGUAGAGAUCCGGAAGAACACCGGUGGCGAAGGCGGUUAGCUGGGGUCGAACUGACGCUGAGGCGCGACAGCGUGGGGAGCAAACAG